rnacentral:misc_RNA from 1 species
AAUUCUCAAAGCAAGUCUUUUGUUGAUUCAACUGGCUUUUGUUUUGGAUUUGGAGGUCUUGCAGAUUCACGUCUGCUCCUCUUAAAUGUAUUAGCUGGAUCUCUAUAAAAUCGGUUCCACUCGGCGUGAUAAGUAUUACUCGCUGAGGACACUCUUGCAAAAGGGUGGCCGGAUUCAUGGAAUGAACCGCUUCUAACGGUCUAUUAGAUUAGACAAACACACUUUAUG